AUGAAUAAUUUUAAUGUAGACAAAUAUGAUGCAUUUCAAUAUAAUAACAUUAAUAUUGAAAGUAAUAAAAAUAAAAAUAAUAUGAAUGAAAAAAAAUAUCAAUCAGCUUAUUAUUCUUUUGUAAAAAAUGAUGAUUAUGGUAGUAAUAUAUAUAAUAAGAAUAGUUCAUAUUAUAGGGAUAAAAAAAAAGAAGAUAAACAUAAUAAUACUACUAAACAUAUAAAUAUAACAAUAAAUAAAGAGUUAGUAGAUACCUUAUCAAUUGAAGAACUUUUAAAAGUUUUAGAAAAAUAUGAUAAAAUGGGAGUACAUAAAGAAAUGAACGGAAUAGACAACUGUGAAGAAAUGAAUAGAACAGACAACUGUGAAGAAAUGANNNNNNNNNNAAAAAAAGAAAAAGUAUAUACAUAUAUAAAAAAACAUGAAAAUACGGAAAUGUUGUCAUACGAAAAUAUUUUAAACGAAGUAAACAUAGUAACAGCAUAUCAUAGAAUAGCUAAACACAUUAAAAAUAAAAAUUAUUUUAUUAAUAAAACUGCAAAAGAUGAAAAAGAAAUAAUUGGUACAUGCUAUGAUGAUAUAACUUUUAGUUUGUUUAAAAAAUAUACAAAUAUAAAUAAUGAAAAGAGUAAUACUUUUAAAUAUACAAAGUCUUCUUUAGGCAAUACAUAUGCGACUGUCAGUGAUGGGUCUGUAAGUAAUGGAGCUGUAAGUGAUAUGACUGUAAGUGAUAUGACUAUAAGUGAUAAUAAAAAAAUAAACAACUCCGAAUGUAAUAAAAAAAGUUUAACUUUACAUGACUUAACAAACUAUGAUCAUACCAAUUUAUGUAACAUAAAUAUUUAUAAGAAUAUAUAUAUAUUGUUAAAAAAAAUGUUAAUAAAUAAUAGUAUAGUUACAUCGAAACAUAUUGCUAAUAUAACAUGGGCUUCGUGUAUUUUAUCAAAUGAAGAUGAUGCAUUAUGGUUAAUUAUUAAAAAAAUUUUUUAUAAAGAUAUAAAUAAAUUUAAAGCUCAAGAAGUGUCAGCUAUUUUAUGGUCAUUUAGUGCAUCGAAAAAAAGUUUUAUCGAUUCGGAUGAAGAGUUUAUAAUUUUAUAUAAAUGUUUAGAAGAUCAUAUAAUAAAUAAAACAUUCAAACCCCAAGAGUUUAGUAAUAUAAUGUGGGCUUUUGCAGUAUCUAACUAUUGUAAUUAUGAUUUAAUAGUUCUUUUAUAUAAUUAUGCAUUAGAAAUGUUUGAUAAUUUAUUGUUUAAAGAUAUAGCAACUGUCUUAUAUAGUUUAUCUAUUUUUGCAUCUGAUUCAAUAAAUAAAAAUAUUUUAACUGCUAUUAAAUUUAAUCAUUUGGAGCAAUAUAGGUUUGUAUAUGAUUAUUUAACAGUUGGGAAAAAAAAAAACACACAAACAGAAAUGGGUGAUAUAAAUAAAGGUAAAGAUAUACAUAAUGUGUCAGUAAAUGAUAAAAACAAUGAACCAUCUAAUACAAAUAAAUGCAAACAGAAUUUUACAUAUUUUAUUAAUCCAUUUGAUGAAGAAAAGAAAUAUCAAGUGAAUAAUUUAAUAUAUGACAAUAAAUUGAAUGAAAAAAAAUAUACAUUUUUUUUAUUAUUUGAAAACUUUUUAUUAUAUUCUAUGAAUAAAAUAAAAAAAGAAAAAGCUAAAAUAACUAUGCGAGUAUGGGCUAAUUUGUUUUGGUCAUGUGCAAGUAUAGGGUUAGGUUUAUAUACAGAUAAUUAUACCCAACACCCGUUGAGUUAUUAUUUAUAUUUUUUACAGAAUGAAGAAAUUGAUUCGGUAGUUGAUGGUGGUAGUAGUGGUAGUGGUGGUAGUAGUGGUAGUGGUGGUAGUAGUGGUGGUAGUAGUGGCAGUAGUGGUGAUAGUAAUGGCAGUAGUGGUGACAAACCGAACGAAAUUAAUUAUUCUAAAUUUAUGAGCGCAUUAAACAAUAAAGGAAUAAAUAAGUACGAAACAAUUAAUAAGAAUAAAAUAUUACUAGAUUUGCUUACUGUGUUUGAAGAUGAAAUAAAAGAAAAAAAAAAAAAAAUAAUAAAAAAAUGCGAUGUACAAUCUAUGGCUAACAUAUUAUGGAGCUUAUCAAUUUUAAAUAUAUUUUCAAAAGAUAUAUUUAACAAUUUUAUAACAGAAUGUAACAAAUUAUUUCUUAAAUUUGGUAAAAAGAAAAAUAACACAAGAUUAAAUUAUUUUAUAUCACAGUUACACCAAUCACAAAUAUAUCAAGCGGCAUUUUCGUACUGUCUCUAUUUAUUAAGCAAAGAAGUAUCAGCAAAAAAUUGUAACACAUCGUUGUCUGUGAAAAAUAACCGGAAAACUGACUUGAAAACAAACUCUUUUGCUUUUAUAAAAAAAAAAAUGGAAAAUAUUUUUACAAAUAAAUUAAAAAUUUCAUUAUAUACACUAAAUAUAUGGAAAAAACAAUUAGCUAGAAAUCAAAGAAAAGAAGAAAAAAAUAAUAUAUCAUCUUCAGUACAUAAAAAAAUAUCAAAUGAUUUAAAAAAAUUAAACAUAUACCAUUAUAAUGAAUAUUUUAUUUUUAAUUCAAUUCUGGUUGAUAUAUAUAUACCUGAUUCAAAGCUUGUUAUCGAACUGGAUGGACCUAGCCACUUUUUUCAAAGAGGAAAAAUAAUUGUUUAUAAACCGAAUACUUUAUUUAAAAAAAGAUUACUAAGAGCUCUUGGUUUUAUUGUUAUAUCUAUUUCAAUUACAGAUCAUACAUUCAUGUUUAGUGGAUUAAAUACAGUGGAAAUUACUAAAAAAUUCUUAAAUAAAGUAAAUUGGGGUUAUCCUUAAGAUAAAUGGCGAACAUAUACAUAUACACAUACAUGUAUACGUGUCUGUAUAUAUAUACUUAUACAUGUAUACGUGUCUGUAUAUAUGUACUUAUACAUGUAUNNNNNNNNNNCAUGUCUGUAUAUAUGUACUUAUACAUGUAUACGUGUCUGUAUAUAUAUACUUUUUUUUUUUUUUUUUUUUUUUGUGUUUUUUAAUAUUUAUAAAUAUGUUUAUUUCUUAUGUUUAUAAAAGUAUAAUUCCAUUUGGUUUAAUAACAGUUAUUGGUUUAUAUGUUUUAACACACAGUUUUGUUUGUUUAUUUAAUUACUUAAUUAUUUAACCACUGAAUUAUUUAAUUAUAAAUUCAUCUACUUGUCUAUGUAUCCAUAUAUACAUAUACCCAUAUAUACAUAUAUCCAAUUUUUAAAACACUUUCCAUCACUUA
rnacentral:lncRNA from 1 species